rnacentral:rRNA from 1 species
GAACGAACGCUGGCGGCGUGCCUAACACAUGCAAGUCGAGGGAGAAAAGGAGCUUCGGCUCCCCAGUAAACCGGCGCACGGGUGAGUAACACGUAGGUAACGUACCCUGGAGUCCGGGAUAACCAGUCGAAAGACUGGCUAAUACCGGAUACGACUAUGACAACUCCGGUUGUUAUAUUGAAAGAUGGCCUCUAUUUAUAAGCUAUCACUCCUGGAUCGGCCUGCGCACCAUUAGCUAGUUGGUGAGGUAACGGCUCACCAAGGCUGAGAUGGUUAGCUGGUCUGAGAGGAUGGCCAGCCACACUGGGACUGAGACACGGCCCAGACUCCUACGGGAGGCAGCAGUGGGGAAUAUUGCGCAAUGGGCGAAAGCCUGACGCAGCGACGCCGCGUGGGUGAUGAAGGCCUUCGGGUCGUAAAGCCCUGUCGGGAGGGAAGAAACAUUUCGGGGCUAAUAUCCCCGGAAAUUGACGGUACCUCCUAAGGAAGCACCGGCUAACUCCGUGCCAGCAGCCGCGGUAA